rnacentral:lncRNA from 1 species
UUAAGUGCUCCUCUGAAACCAAAAGCUGCCAACCUGUAAGGGGCCAUCUUGAGAUAAACCAUAUCUCCCACUUCAAAGGAUCUCUCCACUCUUUUCAUAUCAGCAUAUUUCUUCAUUCUGUUUUGAGCUUGCACCAGAUUGUUUUUUAGUUGAUCCAACAUGUGUUGUUUGGCUGUCAGAAAAUCAAGUGCCUCCCCAUCUUCAGGACCAGGAAUAGCCAGCUCACUAAUGAGAGGAUG